CCUACGGGGGGCAGCAGUGGGGAAUAUUGGACAAUGGGGGCAACCCUGAUCCAGCCAUGCCGCGUGUGUGAAGAAGGCCCUCGGGUUGUAAAGCACUUUCAGUGAGGAAGAACGCCUGGUGGUUAAUACCCAUCAGGAAAGACAUCACUCACAGAAGAAGCACCGGCUAACUCCGUGCCAGCAGCCGCGGUAAUACGGAGGGUGCGAGCGUUAAUCGGAAUUACUGGGCGUAAAGCGCGCGUAGGUGGCUUGAUAAGCCGGUUGUGAAAGCCCCGGGCUCAACCUGGGAACGGCAUCCGGAACUGUCAAGCUAGAGUGCAGGAGAGGAAGGUAGAAUUCCGGGUGUAGCGGUGAAAUGCGUAGAGAUCGGGAGGAAUACCAGUGGCGAAGGCGGCCUUCUGGACUGACACUGACACUGAGGUGCGAAAGCGUGGGUAGCAAACAGGAUUAGAUACCCCUGUAGUC
rnacentral:rRNA from 1 species